rnacentral:lncRNA from 1 species
GACGGUGGCGGUGGUGGUGGAGGAUGGACUGAUAACAUAGGCAGCGGGGGAGGUGCAUGGGGCACCGGCGGAGGAUCUGGAGGCGGGGAUGCUGGAUGGGGCGGCAACAACCGUGGCGGCGGCGGUGGGGAUGGAGGCUGGGGCGCACCUGCUGCUGCUGCUGCCACUGACGGUGGCGCUGGAGGCUGGGGUACACCUGCUGCUGCCACUGACGGUGGCGCAGGAGGCUGGGGAGCAGCUACUACUCCUGGUGCUGCUGGUAACGACUCAGGAUGGGGCAGCGCCAAGAAGGCCGUCCCAGCACCGGAUGCCGGAGGUGGGUGGGGGUCUGGCGGUGGGGGCUGG